rnacentral:rRNA from 1 species
UACGAAGGGGGCUAGCGUUGCUCGGAAUGACUGGGCGUAAAGGGCGCGUAGGCGGUGGACACAGUCAGGCGUGAAAUUCCUGGGCUCAACCUGGGGGCUGCGUUUGAUACGUGUUUGCUAGAGUGGGGAAGAGGGUCGUGGAAUUCCCAGUGUAGAGGUGAAAUUCGUAGAUAUUGGGAAGAACACCGGUGGCGAAGGCGGCGACUUGGUCCUUGACUGACGCUGAGGCGCGAAAGCGUGGGGAGCAAACAGG